GACUCCACGAAGUUGGAUUCGCUAGUAAUCGCGCAUCAGCCAUGGCGCGGUGAAUACGUUCCCGGGCCUUGUACACACCGCCCGUCAAGCCAUGGGAGCCGGGGGCGCCUGAAGUCCGGGACCGCGAGGACCGGCCUAGGGCGAAACUGGUAACUGGGCUAAGUCGUAACAAGGUAUC
rnacentral:rRNA from 1 species